CAUCCUUCUAAGGAAACAAGAAUAGUCCUCAGGUUUCUGCCUUCUGCAUAAUUGACUUACCAAGCAAAAAGACGUCACAUGUCAAAGUCUACUGCCCUUAUGAGUGAGAGUGACGAGACUGUGAGGGUUGUUGGUGCCAGGCAGGAGCUGUCCAUCUGGGAGCAGAACAGCUGCUACUAUCACUGAGAUAAGUAUCUGUUUUGCUGAGGGUUCUGCUCACGGCCCACCUGGCUACAGGUAGAGACACCCCGUUAGGUGGGGCUGGGUUUGUAAGAAAAGGUUCCUGACUAGCCGUGGUUUUGAGGGAGACACGGUCCCCAUUUUCAGGGGCUGAUCAUUUCUCUGGCCAGGAUCGGUGUGUCCUCGGCAGGAGAAGGUUAGAUCCAUGAGGAUGACUCCAGGUGGGCACGGGCAGGAGUGCUACGUGUGCAUCCCCUCAGGCUAGGUCUCGGGAGCUAUGAACAAGUAGGAGGGGACGAAAAUCAUGCAUUGUAGUGGGCGGGUGACUAUGGAUGUUGAUUGUCUCUCUCCAAGUGGGCUUGAUGUAGAUAGGAUGGGAGAGGGAGGCAGGGAUGAGGGCAAGAUUACCUGCACCAAUUGAAUUUUGUGUAGUGAUGGCCCUUGCUACGCUCAUUUCCUGCGCUUGCAGAGGAAUUGUCCAGGAGCAGAAGCUGAAGGAGAAAGCGGCAGACGCAGACCUGAGGAGCCUGGACAUCCUUCUAAGGAGACAUGAAUAGUCCUCGGGUUUCUGCAUAACUGGCUGUUCUUCAUCUGUACUUGCUGUAGUUUUCUUCAUAGGCCGUGUGUUUCCUCCUUGGGUAUGGGGCUCUGUGGCUGGGGAGGGGCCAGAAUCUGCUCUGCAGAGUGACUAUGUUGGGUGCCAUUAAGAGGGCCAAUGUAGACAGGAGAAAAGGGGCCUGAACCCUGAUUACAGGGCGGUCACCCUUUCUUUAGUAAAAUACGCCUCCUUUAAACUCGGUGUGUGCGGGGGGCGGGGGGAAAUCCCCAAUGUGAAAAGAUCUGGAAAUGAACAGGUAAGGGAGGGAUCCUGCUGAGUGUCUCCUUUCCGAUCAAUCCUCCAUCUCUCAGCAACAUCCUUCCGGACUUACCUUCCUACCUCACCAAGAAAAUAACUUGGUGCUCCCUAACCUUUACCAGAAAUGACCCCUUGUCCUUGUGACGCAGUCCUGUUAGUAGGGUUAGGUGCACCACGUGCUGGCUCUGAAUACCACCACAUGUGCUUACAACACCUGAACAUCAACACAUUUCAGAAAGGAUAGCCAUAUCAAUCCCUUCAGACGUAGCCCUAGGAAUCUCCUCUGUCUAUCUCCAAAGAGACACAAGGCCUGGAAUUUGGACACAGCUGAGGGAGCUGUCCGAAUGUCUACAGUUGAACACUUAUCAGUGCGACGGUGUGUUUAUUGUGCACAAGAAAACACAGGGUCAAAGUUGUGGUUGGUUGAGCGGUGUAACUUGGGCAGGGGAAAAGGACUUGAGGAAGGAUGAGGUGGAAGUGAGGGUCUGAAAGGAGCCCCCCACCUCACCUGUUCAUUUCCAGACGGUGUGACAUUUGCAUGGGUUGGGCCAUUUCUUGGCUUUUUUGAGAAAAGGGGCGACUUUUUUCUACGGCCUCCACCAUACCCUUACAGCUGUCCCUUCGCCACACCAUGUUGCGACCUAUCCAGGUCAGAUGCAAGUAAGAUUUCACUUCAAAUCUCAAAAAAGUCCAGUAGAAAUAAGUGUGGGGGAAUUUCCUGUCACUAAGAGAAACGGAAGCUCAAGCCUUCUCAAGCAGUGGGGUGUCACUCAGCCGCAGGCACAAAAAGGCUGCCCUAGUUUAAGCGUUGGAGGGAUAAGACCUUGCACCCUGGUUACAGGGCAGUCAUUUUGCCGGGCGUGUCAAAGUGACCUGUGGUUUAAUUUGCUUGGCAAAGGAGACCCAAACCUUCCUUACAGGGUGGUCCUUAAGCCAGGGAUGUUCGAAUGGGGCAGAGAGAAAAGCGCCGUAAAUGAGACCUCCGUUCCCUCAGGAGAGCGUGGUCUCAUUGCCCAGCAAGUGCCAGCAGCCCAAGAGGAGCUAGAAAGGGGAGACCUGCACCCUUCUCACAGGGAUUGGUCAGUGGCAAAGAGCAUUUUAAAGGCUAGAUCCUAAGGAGCUCAAACCCACAGCGACCUUGUGGUGAUCUGCGUGUAAUGUAAUAUCUCAUUGUAAGGUGACGGGGCCUGCAAGAGUUAGUUAACUCACAAACUGACCUUGACCCAUGGGUGAACUUUAAAGACUGGUUAGGAAGAUCUGUAAAGGAAUAGAGGUUUGAAAUGCAGCCUGCAUUGUUAGAGAUAGACCAGACCUGAGCUAACAUUUACCCUUCUAUUUCUAUAGCUGUGAUUCAAAGAUCAAAAAAGCACUAUUAACAUUUAGGAAGACACUGGAGUGAAAUAGCAUUAUUGUCUAUAUCGGCAUCGGCAACCUUUCACAAGCGGUGGGCCGAGUCUUCAUUUAUUCACUCUAAAAUGUAUUACUGGCAUGCGAAACCUUAAUGUUUUCCGGAAGGUCUCUUUAGUUCUAUAAUAUAUAGACAUACA